UAGAGGACUAUGUAUGGAGAAAUACAU
rnacentral:sRNA from 1 species